GUUUUGUUUAGUUAAAGUUUUGGUUCACAGUUCUGUUUAUUAUUUGGCAAAAUUUACAUGUAUGCAUUGAGUCUUGAUUUCAGCUCGAUUGUGGACUGAAGAAGAUUGCCAGCAGAGGGAUUGGAUACAAAAUACAAACCCUACUACAAGACGAGUGUUUUCUACUACUAGACGUGUCAGGUUUACUUCCAGGCGAGCAGUGACAACAAGGCGCCUUUGUGGAAACAGCAAAACAAACAACUCUACUGCAAGACGAGCAGUAACAGCAAGGCGCCUGAACAUGCAACACAAUACAAAAAAUGCCAAUUUGCAAACCUUGAUGUGGACACCGAGUAGUCAAUACAUACGUGUGGCGUAUAGCUGCGACAAAACCGUGGGUCCAUCGCACCGAUAACUUGAACAUUGGCCCGUGUAUGGACAUCAGUGCAACUUUGUGAAUCCGUGUAUCUUUGUGAAUCCAUGUAACAUUGCGAAUGUGUGUCGAUCGAAAAAUGUGUACAUUCUGAACUGAAACGAACUCGGUGUUGCAAGUGGCAAGUGUUGACAGUGUGUAUGUUUAUGUUUAUGUUUUUACAUGAAAACUAAAGGAGAUUGUUCUCCUACCUUUUUUUUCCUUGUUUUAUUGCGCUGGCCAGCAAUAUUGAUGUAUUGAUGUAUGUGUUUGUGUUUAAACUAUGCAAUACCAAAAUCAAACAAAAAAUAAACAUUAACAGUCAUUAACUGUGUUUGGGCGGCCGAGGGGUUUAAGACUCCACAAGUGUGAAGCGCACUGAUAGCACUUGGGGGUGAACACCUCGGUAUUUCGGUGCUAAAAUGUUUUCACGGUGCUUAUCUUGACGCACUGUUAAGACUACCAACCAGUUAAUGAUUGCUUCAUCUUUAAACAAAAAGUAAGUCUCUACUUUGGCACAAGAGACUCCAAGUACCAAAUACCAACAAUUAAAAAGCAGACGUUUUUCAAAACUAUGAUCGCUGAGAUUGAUAGUCAGAUGGAGUCCUGCCCAGUUAGCUGUGUAGCGGUCUAGGGCGGGGUUGCAAGUCAAUACGAAAUGAGGCGCUAUAAAGCAACUCGUCCCCGUUAUGACCGUCAAUACUUUCGACACUAUCUGGGAAUCCUUUCAACACCACAUUGUUGCGCUGUUGGAAGGGUGGUAGGCACGCAUGGUGACAUGCCUGUGCUUUGCUAUGCGACACCAUGGUAUUUUCGUACGGUGACACGAAAUAUCUUAAUCUGGCUCUCUCAGAAACGCAGGCACGCGUUGACCGAACCUGACCGAUGACCGAGCAAUAACAUUUCUAUUAAGUGCUUCAAUGCACAAAGUCUGCUAGGCUGGGUGGGAA